CUCUGCUUCAUCCCACCACCAUGUCACUGCUUAUUUUCCAGUAACAAGAAAUGAAACCAUGGUGUGUUUUAAUCCUUACUUAAUGUGGUCAUAUUCUAGUGUGUUUGCUUAUUCACCUGCAAACAUCUGACAGUCCAUAAGCUCAACCAAGCUUCUGAUUAAACAUAAAAUUUAAUGGAACUGAAAGUUAUAUUUAAAAAAAUAGACAUCGCACAAUAUCCCAAAUAAUUAUAUAUUUAAAAUCACAGAUUAGAAAUUUUUGAGAGAUGGGGAGGUUUUCUCAUAGAAGUAGCCAUCAAAUUUCCCCUAAGAUAAGGAGUGUCUCUAUGCAAAUGUCCUUCCCCGAUGUAUAUUUAAGCAAUGAAGACCAGGAGCUUUUAUUUAUUCUGAUUCAAUACACACCAUGAUCUCUACAUCCCUACUGCUGUUGCUGCUGGCAGCCGUACACUGUGUUCACUGUGUUGAACUGAUCCAGCCUGGAUCCAUGAUAUUAACCCCUGGUCAGUCAAUGACUCUGACCUGCAAAGUGUCUGGAUAUUCAUUAACAAGUACCUACUGUACACACUGGAUACGACAACCUGCAGGAAAAGCUCUGGAAUGGGUCGGAGAGAUAUGUGGUGAUGGUAACACGUACUACAGUGAGAAACUGAAAAGCAGGUUUCAGGUUUCCAGAGACACAUCCAGCAGCACAGUAACAUUAACAGGGCAGAACAUGCAGACUGAAGACACAGCUGUGUAUUACUGCGCUCGUCAACCACAGUGAGACAGAUCAACUACAUCCCUGUACAAAAACACCCAGUACAGAAAACUCUUAAGGGCAGUGAAACAGUGUACAGUCUCAUUGUGUUCACUGACACUUUUUCAUGAAUAGUGCAUAUUAUGAUUAACAUGUAUAAAAACAAUUGUUUCUAUCUAGCAGAGGUUGUGAUGUAUACAUUAAAAUUAAUUAUUUUUUACAUUAAAAUAAAUACAAUAUUGUCUUUUGCUUUGGUUUGUGAAGUAGUUGUGCAUGGUAAGCAAGUAGAUUGGAAAUCUAAAAGAAUUUUAUUGUAGGUGUGCUACUCCAGCAGUUAUGAUAGUUUACUUAUUAUUUAGUGUUUUUAUGGUAGCAGUUUGAGAAACCAGAAUCUAGAAAGAGCAAACUCCUCUGUCCUGAAGACUUACUGACUGUUGAAAAAUGCUGACACUGAAACUCCUUCCAUAAAUAUUACAAAAACAUCUUCUUACAAAAGGCUUCUUUAUACUGUACCAGUGACUAUACCUUUUGUAUUGUUAAAUAACAGCAUGUUUUCAAAUCUGUUUAUUAUUCAUAUUAUAUUAUGUGAAGAGGCCUUCAUACAAGUCUCUGU